GACGAACGCUGGCGGCGUGCCUAAUACAUGCAAGUAGAACGCUGAAGGAGGAGCUUGCUUCUCUGGAUGAGUUGCGAACGGGUGAGUAACGCGUAGGUAACCUGCCUGGUAGUGGGGGAUAACUAUUGGAAACGAUAGCUAAUACCGCAUAAUAGCAGUUGUUGCAUGAUAACUGUUUGAAAGGUGCAAUUGCACCGCUACCAGAUGGACCUGCGUUGUAUUAGCUAGUUGGUGGGGUAACGGCUCACCAAGGCGACGAUACAUAGCCGACCUGAGAGGGUGAUCGGCCACACUGGGACUGGGACACGGCCCAGACUCCUUCGGGAGGCAGCAGUAGGGAAUCAUCGGCAAUGGACGGAAGUCUGACCGAGCAACGCCGCGUGAGUGAAGAAGGGUUUCGGAUCGGAAAGCUCUGUUGUAAGAGAAGAACGAGUGUGAGAGUGGAAAGUUCACACUGUGACGGUAUCUUACCAGAAAGGGACGGCUAACUACGUG
rnacentral:rRNA from 1 species